rnacentral:rRNA from 1 species
UACGUAGGGGGCAAGCGUUGUCCGGAAUCAUUGGGCGUAAAGCGCGUGUAGGCGGCUCGGUAAGUCUGCUGUGAAAGUCCAGGGCUCAACCCUGGGAUGCCGGUGGAUACUGUCGAGCUCGAGUCCGGAAGAGGCGAGUGGAAUUCCUGGUGUAGCGGUGAAAUGCGCAGAUAUCAGGAGGAACACCAUGGCGAAGGCAGCUCGCUGGAACGGUACUGACGCUGAGGCGCGAAAGCGUGGGGAGCGAACAGG